GGGGGUGUUUCUGAACGAUGCUGUGAGAGAAUCACUUUCCACAAGAAAAGGUAUCGCAGAGAGGAAGGGGGAGAUGGCAACAGAAAGUGAGGUCAAUUUCUCCACAUAUUCAGAACGUCCUAAAAGCUCCACAAAAUCUUCAUCAUGAGUGAUUACCAGAAGCUGGAAGUUACGCUGCUGUGAGCGACUUUUUAAAGGCUUACUCCUUCGCCUGGGAUUUUCUCCUUCGCCUGGGAUUUUCCUGACCUGUUACUACUUUUCUCUGGAAGAAAAAUUUAAAAGUAAUAAAGACAAACUACAGUUACUUGGGUGAGUUGGCUCCCCAGGCUUUUGAGAUACCUGCCUUUUGUCCAGCACUGCAUCGUCCUCGCAUAUCCAAGGCUGUGUCUCCCUUCAGCAUCACCACUCGGUAGUUAUAAUUCCGCCUUUUAUCAGAAGCUGAUACAUUUUCAUCGGCAUCAGACCGUAUUUCUAUGUAUUCAAUAUCUGAC
rnacentral:antisense_RNA from 1 species